AACGAACGCUGGCGGCAGGCCUAACACAUGCAAGUCGAGCGAGGACUUCGGUCCUAGCGGCGGACGGGUGCGUAACGCGUGGGAACGUGCCCUUUGCUUCGGAAUAGCCCUGGGAAACUGGGAGUAAUACCGGAUGAGCCCUUUGGGGGAAAGAUUUAUCGGCGAAGGAUCGGCCCGCGUUGGAUUAGGUAGUUGGUGGGGUAAUGGCCUACCAAGCCGACGAUCCAUAGCUGGUCUGAGAGGAUGAUCAGCCACACUGGGACUGAGACACGGCCCAGACCCCUACGGGAGGCAGCAGUGGGGAAUCUUAGACAAUGGGGGAAACCCUGAUCUAGCCAUGCCGCGUGAGCGAUGAAGGCCUUAGGGUUGUAAAGCUCUUUCAGCUGGGAAGAUAAUGACGGUACCAGCAGAAGAAGCCCCGGCUAACUCCGUG
rnacentral:rRNA from 1 species